GGUUUAUUUGUAGUGUCUUUCAUUGAAAGUACACUACGAGUUAACCUUUCCUUCUGGUUAAUUAUUGUGUCAUUUACUUGGUGCGAUAAGGACCCAGAACUUUUACUUUGAAAAAAUUAGAGUGUUUAAAGCAGGCUUACGCUUGAAUACAUUAGCAUGGAAUAAUAAAAUAGGACUUUGGUUUUAUUUUGUUGGUUUCUAAGACUAAAGUA
rnacentral:rRNA from 1 species